rnacentral:snRNA from 1 species
AGUCCCUUCGGGGACAUCCGAUAA